rnacentral:rRNA from 1 species
ACUCGAGUGGCGAACGGGUGAGUAACACGUGGGUGAUCUGCCCUGCACUCUGGGAUAAGCCUGGGAAACUGGGUCUAAUACUGGAUAUGACCUUUCUCCUUAUGGGGUUUGGUGGAAAGUUUUUCGGUGUAGGAUGAGCCCGCGGCCUAUCAGCUUGUUGGUGGGGUGAUGGCCUACCAAGGCGACGACGGGUAGCCGGCCUGAGAGGGUGAUCGGCCACAUUGGGACUGAGAUACGGCCCAG